GCUUGCAUGGCAGAAUCUGGUUAAUGCCAAAGACCUAAGCUCUUUUUAUGGAAGUUCAAAUCCUCCUGCAAGCU
rnacentral:tRNA from 1 species